rnacentral:rRNA from 1 species
AGUCGAGGGGUAUAGGCUUUCGGGCCUAGAGACCGGCGCACGGGUGCGUAACGCGUAUGCAAUCUACCUUUCACAGAGGGAUAGCCCAGAGAAAUUUGGAUUAAUACCUCAUGGUAUAUAGGAGUGGCAUCACUUUUAUAUUAAAGUCACAACGGUGAAAGAUGAGCAUGCGUCCCAUUAGCUAGUUGGUAAGGUAACGGCUUACCAAGGCGACGAUGGGUAGGGGUCCUGAGAGGGAGAUCCCCCACACUGGUACUGAGACACGGACCAGACUCCUACGGGAGGCAGCAGUGAGGAAUAUUGGUCAAUGGGCGCAAGCCUGAACCAGCCAUGCCGCGUGCAGGAUGAAGCAUCUAUGGUGUGUAAACUGCUUUUGUACGGGAAGAAACAGAGGUUCGUGAACCUCCUUGACGGUACCGUAAGAAUAAGGAUCGGCUAACUCCGUGCCAGCAGCCGCGGUAAUACGGAGGAUCCAAGCGUUAUCCGGAAUCAUUGGGUUUAAAGGGUCCGUAGGCGGUUUAGUAAGUCAGUGGUGAAAGCCCAUCGCUCAACGGUGGAACGGCCAUUGAUACUGCUAGACUUGAAUUAUUAGGAAGUAACUAGAAUAUGUAGUGUAGCGGUGAAAUGCUUAGAUAUUACAUGGAAUACCAAUUGCGAAGGCAGGUUACUACUAAUGGAUUGACGCUGAUGGACGAAAGCGUGGGUAGCGAACAGGAUUAGAUACCCUGGUAGUCCACGCCGUAAACGAUGGAUACUAGCUGUUCGGAGNCAUCUGAGUGGCUAAGCGAAAGUGAUAAGUAUCCCACCUGGGGAGUACGGGCGCAAGCCUGAAACUCAAAGAAUUGACGGGGGCCCGCACAAGCG